rnacentral:rRNA from 1 species
CGGGGUGAGUAACGCGUGGAUAACCUGCCUCACACUGGGGGAUAACAGUUAGAAAUGACUGCUAAUACCGCAUGAGUGCACAGUACCGCAUGGUACGGUGUGAAAAACUCCGGUGGUGUGAGAUGGAUCCGCGUCUGAUUAGCCAGUUGGCGGGGUAACGGCCCACCAAAGCGACGAUCAGUAGCCGACCUGAGAGGGUGACCGGCCACAUUGGGACUGAGACACGGCCCAA